GAGCGCGUUCAUGCGUGAUGGCGUGCCUUUUGUAGAAUGAACCGGCGAGUGACGAUGGCGUGCGAGGUUAAGCCGAAGAGGCGGAGCCGCAGCGAAAGCGAGUCUGAAUAGGGCGAAAAGUACGUCGUCGUCGACCCGAAACCAGGUGAUCUACCCAUGUCCAGGGUGAAGGCCGGGUAACACCGGCUGGAGGCCCGAACCCACGCACGUUGAAAAGUGCUGGGAUGAGGUGUGGGUAGGGGUGAAAUGCCAAUCGAACUUGGAGAUAGCUGGUUCUCCCCGAAAUAGCUUUAGGGCUAGCCUCGGGAUGGAGAGUGUUGGAGGUAGAGCACUGAUUGGGCUAGGGGCCCUCAUCGGGUUACCGAACCCAGUCAAACUCCGAAUGCCAACGACUUAUGCCCGGGAGUCAGACUGCGAGUGAUAAGAUCCGUGGUCGAGAGG
rnacentral:rRNA from 1 species